rnacentral:ncRNA from 1 species
UAAGUUUGGUCCUAGCUUUAUUCUCAAUUGUUUCCCGAUUUACACAUGCAAGUCUCAGCAAUCCAGUGAAGACGCCCUUUUAACCUUCCCAGGACAAGGAGCUGGCAUCAGGCACAGAAUACUUGCCCACAACGCCUAGUCUCACCACACCUCCAAAGGUACUCAGCAGUGAUAAAGAUUGUCUAUAAGCGUAAGCUUGAAUCAGUCAGGGGAAAGAAGGCCGGCCAACCCGGUGCCAGCCGCCGCGGCUACACCGUUGGGCCCAAAUUGACAUUAAACGGCGUUAAGCGUGAUUAGAGAAUUUACAAAAAUUAGUAUUAAAUUUAAGCUUAGCUGUGAUAAACUUGCUAUUCAGAAACCCAAAAACGAAAGUUAUCCUAAUAUAAUUUCUUGAACACACGACAGUUUGGAAACAAACUGGGAUUAGGUACCCCACUAUGCCAAACCGUAAAAAUUUAACCCACACUCACCAACGCCAGGGCACUACGAGCUUUAGCUUAAAACCCAAAGGACUUGACGGUGUCCCACCCAACUAGAGGAGCCUGUUCUAUAAUCGAUAAUCCACGAUAUACCUGACCAUUUUUUGCCAAUCAGCCUGUAUACCUCCGUCGCAAGCCUACCAUGUGAACGUAUAAUAGUAGGCUCAAUGGCCUCAACGCCACAACGUCAGGUCAAGGUGCAGCUAAUGAAAUGGAAGCAAUGGGCUACAAUUUCUAAUUUAGAACAAACGAAACACUACAUGAAACAUAGUCAUGAAGGCGGAUUUAGAAGUAAGUAGGAAAUAGAGAGUCCUACUAAACUUGGCCAUGGGACGUGUACAAACCGCCCGUCACCCUCUUCAAUAGCCAUUAGUAAUAGUUCUUAACACUAACCCAGCGCCUUAGAAGAGGCAAGUCGUAACACGGUAAGUAUACUGGAAAGUGUGCUUGGAAUAA